UGUUGUUGCUGUAGCACCAUCACACCUGCUUGUUGUUAUAUACAAGCCACUCUGCAUGAACACAAAAGGUCAGUGAUUUUUUCCCUUUUAACUUUCUUUGGCUUUGUUUAUUUUUCAUACUAUUUUUUUUACCUCAAAUGAGUAAUCAAAUCGAGGAUCAAAAUCAUCUUGUGCUGUUAGAAGAUGCGUAAGGGAACCAACAUGAGCCUUCAUGAUCAACAAGAGAAAUAUGUAUAGAAGUCAACCUCUUAUCCACACAGGCCAUGCUCUUCAGCAAUACCUGCAAGUGCAUUUUUUCAAUCAUUUACUGAGGAAUGGAUCUGGAAGCCAGAAGCAACAAAAAACAAGUGGAUCUUAAGGGAGAACAUUUUUUACCUCCAUCCCUGCAGCGUGAGGGUUCAUGUUGUUGUCUUGUGCCCAGAUACGCUCCAUCCUUUGCCUUCUUUUGCUUUUAGGGAAGGGAUCCUCGUCCUCCAUGUCCCACACGUGAGUUUUGGAAGAAAGAGUUUGGGGAUGGGAGGAGGGGCGGUGACGAACAGAUCUGUUCUCUCUUUCUUGUUUUUUCUUUUUUUUCCUCCUAUUUUCUGUUUGUUUUAUGUAGGAUAACGAUCUGACUUGAGACUUAUAUGGACAGUCAUGGGGGGAACAGGCACAGAAGCCCUUUUUUUUUGGGCGGGCUUUCAUGAAAAUAUUUCCCGCCACC